rnacentral:rRNA from 1 species
UGCCAGCCGCCGCGGUAAUACAGAGGAUGCAAGCGUUGUUCGGAAUUACUGGGCUUAAAGCGUAUGUAGGCGGGAUGGAAGGUGUCUUGUGAAAGCCCUCGGCUCAACCGAGGAAUCGCUCGGCAAACCACCAUUCUUGAGGCCAGCAGGGGUACCCGGAACCUUGGGUGGAGCGGUGAAAUGCGUUGAUAUUCAAGGGAACGCCGAUGGCGAAAGCGGGGUACUGGGCUGGUUCUGACGCUCAGAUACGAAAGCGUGGGGAGCAAACAGGAUUAGAUA